CAAAAAUAAAAAUUAUGUAUUUCAAUGUUGUACCCAGUCGCAACAUAGGAUGUUUGGGUAGUGACAAAGAGAGGGAAAUUGUAAAGAAGAAGAGAAAAGGGAAGAAGCAGCAGAGAAAGAGGAGAAAAGAAGGGAGAGAGAGAAGAGAGAUUUAAGGAGGAAGAUUGUUGUAUUUCCAAUUUGAUAUCUUAUUGGAACUCAUAUGAUUUAUACAAGCAUUGCUAACUCCCUAACAGAAUCUGUUACAAACAGUAAUCUAGCUAUUAUCUAUAUUGCCUUAAAUGCUUGUUAGUGUGUCCCUCUUAGCUUAUCCAUCCUUAGUCAUAACAUUUUAUCAAUGAAAGUUAACGUUAAGCAGUUGCUAAAAUUGGUGAUAAAAUCAAGUGCCAUUGGUGAAAUUAAGCCCUUGACCUAGGAUAGUGCUAAAAGACUAAUUUUUGAAAUUUUAUGGUCUCACAUGCACUGAAAUGUCAUAUAAAAUUAGGGAUAGUUUAACCCGUGAUUUUCAUGAAUCAAACCAAACCUUAAUCAGUCUAUAGACCCUAUGCAUUCCUCUUAACAAUGCAAACCCGUAAAUAAUUAAUUCAUCAAAUUAGUCCACCACAAAAAUAUUCACAAUCUGG
rnacentral:misc_RNA from 1 species